CACAGCAGAGCACUGGAAGCCGGAAAGGUCCCUGACCACCACAGGCGCUACAAUGAAGAGAAUUAACCCCUUCUCAUGCAAAACCAGCACAGAUGUGUCUGAGGCUCAUAAGAUUUGGUGCUUUGGACCUGAUGGUACCAGUCCAAAUAUCUCAGUUGACAUCACAAAAGGUGUCCAGUAUCUAAAUGAAUUCAAAGACAAUGUUGUUGCUGUUUUCCAGUGGGCUACGAAAGAGGGCCCAUAACAAGUGAUUGGUGUGAUCUAUGGUGUGCUGAACAGGAAAAGGGGACACGGUUUUGAAGAAUCGCAAGUAGCAGGAACUCCAAUGUUUCUGGGCAAGUCAUUCCUACCUGACUCAUUUGGUUUUACCACUGGCUUGAGAUCCAACACUGGUGGCCAGGCUUUUCCACAGUGCAUCUUUGAUCACUGGCAGGUUUUGCCUGGGGAUCCUUACAAUGCAAAUUCCUGUCCUUAGCAAGUUGUGGCUGAAACACGUAAAGGCAAAGGCUUGAAGGGUAGGAUAUUGCACCUCUGGAUAACUCCUAGGAAGCAGCUCCCUUCAUUGUUGCUCUUGCAGAAAUUCUUGUUGAACUAUCAGGUUUUUGUCCUCUCAGCCAGAAGAUGCAUUCUUUCAUUUCCAAACUUGAAUCCUCUGUGCUCUUGAAGACUGAUAGUGAAAGGCUUGCAGUUACAGAGUCCAUGUCCAUCAUACACCACAAAUGGCGACCGAAAAGGGACUUGAAAAAUAACAAAGAGAAAGCAGCAACGAUAUUUACCAGUGGUGUACCCCUGCGCAGCCUGACGGAGAAUAUUGCAUCGAGUGCUCAUACACAUUCAUCACCGGUCGCUGGACAGCAAAGGCCACUGACAUUCAGCUGCAACUCAAGCUGAUUUGGCUGACAGACAAGCCAGUAUGGGUAGACCAGCGGCCUUUGAAAGGUGAGUGGCUAGAAAGGGCUCAUGAAUUAGUGCAAGAGCAAUUGAAAUUAGGUCAUAUUGUCCCUUCCACGAGCCCUUGGAAAACCCCUAUAUUUGUUAUUCCUAAAAAGUCUGGUAAAUGGAGAUUGCUGCAAGACCUCUGAGCUAUUAAUGCAGUGAUGGGACCUAUAGGAUCUCUACAACCAGGAACUCCAAAUCCAACUAUGAUUCUGGAUAAUUGGCAUUUGAAGGUUAUUGAUUUGAAAUAUUGCUUUUUUGCUACUCAUUUACAUCCUGAUGAUUGUGCUCGUUUUGCCUUUUUGGUUCCUGUGAUUAAUAAUGAUCGACCUACGCAGCAGUUUCAUUGGGUAGUUCUACCGCAAGGGAUGAAAAACAGCCCAACCAUAUGUCAAGUGGUGGUCAGUGAAGCCUUGUCGAAUAUUCACAGACCAUAUAAUAACACUGUGUUAUAUCAUUAUAUGGGCGAUAUUUUAUUAGCUGUUAAAACUGAAUCACUUCUUUCCCGAGUUUUUGAAGGCCUAGUAACCGAGCUUCAGCGAUACAGCCUCCAAAUUGUGACAGAAAAGGUACAAUCAGUUCCUCCAUGGAAAUACCUUGGUUGGAAACAUCUUGAUUAGUCUGUAUAUCCACAGUCGGUCCGACUUGCUACUACAGUGAGUACUUUGAAUGAUUUACAAAAGCUCUUGGGAACAAUUAACUGGCUUCGACCUCUGUUAGGUAUAACAACACACGAACUGUCACCUCUGUUUUCUUUACUGAAGGGGAAUCCUGAGCUAGCUUCUCCUAGGCAAUUGACAGAAGGCGCUCAGUUAGCACUUCAGUGAGAUAAAAUUAAUUCCACAUUUGCUCACCGAAUUUCCCUCCAGUUGUCAGUUCAAUUUUUUGUAAUUUAUCAUUCUUUUCAACCGUAUGCUCUUCUAGGCCAAUGGGACGAAAAAGCACAGGAGGAUGCUUUGCACAUUUUAGAAUGGCUAUUUCUACCACAUUCUUUUGCCAAGACGUUAACCACUGCCCUAGAGAUGAUUGCCAGACUUGUUUCACAAGGUCUUUUGAAAUGUCAAAAAAUAACAGGACAAGAUCCUGUCUUUAUCCAUUUACCAUUAACAAAAGAAGAGUUUCAUGCUGUGUUGUGUAACAGUUUAACUUUUCAGGCUGCCUUGGCCGAUUAUACUAAUGUUGUUUUGCAUUCUCUGCCACAUCAUUGUUUAUUAGGUUCUUUACACUGCUUACCUCUCCAAACAUGAUCUUUGUUGAGUUCUGUUCCUUUGCAAAACGCACAUACUGUAUUUAUUGAUGGUUCUGGUAAAACAGGUAAAGCUGCAGUUGUUUAGCAGCAAACAGACUGUGAAGAAUGGGCCUCAGCUGUUUUGCAUCUAUUGGGUCUACACAAAUUAUGGAAUUAGCUGCAGCAGUGCAUCCUUUUGAAUUAUUUUCCAGGGAACCUCUUAAUAUAGUCACAGAUUCUGCAUACAUCACAGAUAUUAUUCAGCAUUUAGAAUCUGCUUUUAUACAGGAGGUGGACAGUUAUUUGAUUUAUUGUUAAAACUGGCACAGCUUUUGAAAACAAGACAACAUUUCUAUUGUCAUCCAUAUUUGAUCUCACACUAACCUACCAGGACCUCUUACUGAAGGUAAUACAAUAGCAGAGCAAUUUACAAUGGCUGCAGUUUCUCCUUGGCAUUUUGAGCAGGCCGAAUUGGCUCAUGAAUUUUUUUCAAAAUGCACACUCCUUACAGAAACAUUUUUCUCUAACAACUGAACAAGCUCAGGACAUCAUUUGGGGAUGCCCAGAUUGUCAGCAGCUUUCUCCAUUACCUGUUUUGCCUGGAGCUAAUCCUAGAGGUUUAAAUGCAAGUGACUUGUGGCAAUUGGAUGUCACACACAUUUCUUCCUUUGGACAACUUAAGCAUGUCCACAUUUCUAUCGAUACCUUCUCUAGGUUUUUAAUAGCCACUGUUCAUUCUGGGGAAUGGGCCCAGGAUGUUGUGGAACAUUUUUUGCAAUGUUUUGCAACCAUGGGGGUUCCCCAAAAGAUAAAGACAGACAAUGCAUCAGCUUAUGUUUCUCACCAUUUUCUCUUAUUUUUGCAGGAUUACUGGAAUCCCACGUUCUCCAACUGGUCAGGCAAUUAUAGAACAUGCCAUCAUUCUUUGAAAUCUCUUAUUGAUAAACAAAAGAGGGGGAAUCCAGUAGGGACAACACCGCAAGAAAUAUUUGACAAAGCCACUUAUGUUUUAAAUUUUCUUAAUCUAUCUGGGUCUAAACAAUAUAUAGUUCCGCGGUAGAUAGACAUUUUAAAGCUGAGGAAUCCUCUACUGUGAAGCCCCAGGUGUUUUAUAAGAAUUUGGAAUCUGGUCAAUGGGCAGGACCAGUUCCUCUGCUUACCUGGGGACAGGGAUAUGCUUGUGUUUCUCUUCCUUCAGGUCCUUACUGGAUCUCUGUGAGAAAUGCAAAGCCAGCCCAAGUGUAGGCUUCCCCUACAUCCCCAGGAAAGGGGGAAGUGGGGAGCAAGAGACAUGGAACACAAGUCAUGGCUAUGUCACAAAGCUUUAUUGUCUUAAAUGAAGUUUAUUACAGGCCCCAGUUAAAAUAUUCAGUUCACCAAUGCAUACACUUCUGCACCUUUGUCCAGGUUGUCAGUGUUUUAGAGUGGUUGAGUGCCUUUUUUUUAAAUAAAAAGUUUUCUUUUGUUUUUA